rnacentral:lncRNA from 1 species
UUAUAAUCAUUUUAGCAAGUUCCCUUCUAAGUUCUUCCAUAUCAAAGGUCUUUAAUUUAGGCUAGUAGCACCAACUACUUCAUGUGACUCAGAAUGUGCUCCCUUUUGCUUUUUAUUUACCUUACAAAAAUAUUGAUUAUUUAAAUGAGCCCACAAAUUACUAGCCCUAUAAUUUUUGGAGCCACAAGCAUAAGUUUUUCCACAAUUUACACAUGCUGCCCUAGUUUUAUCACCAUAAUCUACAAUCUUAAAAUGGUCCCAAAUAGUUGAAAAUCUUCCAAAAGCUUCUUUAGCUCCAAUUCUAGAGUAGAUUUACUGUUCAUCUCUUCCUCCAUCUAGAAAAAAAAAUAAAAGAAAGUAUAAUUAAUUUGGAUUUUGGAUAAAGGACACAAAUAAAAAUUACAAUACUUUCAUUUUGAAAAGGACACUAGUACUAAUUCUACAAGUGAUGGAAAUAAAGAAUAAUAAACAAAUUAUUUUUUUAACCUUAAGAAUAAAUAAUUUAGCAGCAAAGAACACAAAUUAUAACCAAGUUUAUAGAUAAUGUGCAAUUUGCAAUGCGAUAAACUUUUCUGAGGAAAACUGUAAUAGAAACCUUCCAUCUACAAUAGUAAAUAGCAGAAAAUGAUGGGGUUAAAUCAAGCACAAAAUAGAAGAAGAAAAAAAAGUCAAUGUUGAAAGAAAGAGUUAUUAUCUUUUAUAUUAAUUGACUUGAAAUUACGAGAUGAGAUGAAAGAAAUGCAUUGCACAUGAUUUGUCUAUCUAUUUACAAAACCAAAAGUAAGCUUCAAUGCCACAAUAACUAAAACUAGACUUUCUCUUUUAUAUUAUUGAUUUUUCAUUGGAUCUUUGAUAGACUUUGCAUCCACUGUUCCACUUCAAACAAUCCCAAUACCACCAUUUAACUAAUUUUUGGAAAUAUCAUCUCGGAUGAUGCUCCAAAACCAUAAAUAAAGAAAUCAAGUAGUCAUGAAGAAAUUAAAUAGAGAAAUCAAAUAGUCAUGAUAUACAACUUGACCUUUCAAAUAUUGCUAAAUUUCUCAAUUAAAUGAUACUAUAUAUAUAUAUUAAGCCGCCGAAUCAAACAGGUAUUCCCGACAAACAUUUAUUAACCUAAAACUAUAAUGAUUGAUUUCUUUAAAUUAUUUACAUGAAAUCAUAUAAUACACAUUGUUCACAAAAUGAUUAAUUUUUAAGUUCUGCAUGCACUAUUAAUGAUUGCUGUAGGCAAAAUCUAACUAACCAACUAAAAUACGGAUGUACCAUAAAUUAAACCUCACUAACAUUCAAGUUCCAAUUAUACUACAUUCAAAACUCAGAGGUGCUCCUAUACACUAAUACAUUGAGUUGUUGGUUAGUCCCAUAUUUCCCAUGUUAUAGAAACCAAUGGGUUUGGAAUCAAAGAGAGGUCUUGUAUCUUUUAGGGAAGAACAUUAUAGAAAAUGACACGAAAAGAACAUUUCUCCAAGCAGCCAUACACAAUUUUCAACUGUAGAAAAUUUGAACCAAUUAGCGCAAAGACACUGGCAUGUAUAUCCUAAUCCUCGAAUUACACGAGUGUUCCAGUUUGGUUAAUGUAAAGUGGGAAAGAGAAACAAGAGCAGCAUCAAGCAGUCAAAUGAAGAGUAAAACAAAGCAAUAAACGUGCCAGACUCAAUUGUCUAAUGAUACUAAAAUAAUAUAAGAUAUAUCUUCAAAUUAUUGUACGAAAACCCAAGCUAUUUUAGAAAAUCAUGGGGAUAAAAGCUUAAAUUUGAGUAGAUAUGUGUGUAUCCUGAAAAACUUUAGCACUAUAUAAUAUAUGGAAGCUGAAAAUUAAAUAUAUUUUGCAUCCAUCUCUAUGGUUGAUUGUCAAUUUGUCUUGCUUGUUAAUUAGGCUGCAGCUUCACAUGUGAAAUUGCUAUAAUUAUCUUAUCACCCACUCCCCCGUGUGAUUAGCUGACCUGUUCAUGGUUGUUCCUAUCUAUUUAAUUUAUAUAUAUAUCAACUUGACUAACUCAUUGGCAUUUUCUAUUUUUUUUAAAUAUAUUUAACCAUAUUUUUGAAGGAAGGAGCUUCUAGUGUUUGUUGCUAGUGUUUGUUGCUAGUAUUUUAUUUUUAAUCAUACAUGUCUAUAUGAAUUGCUUAACUGCAAUUUCAAAAAAAUCUAUAUUAAACUAAAUCAUAAUCCCAAAAUCUCCAUGAACAAAAUUUGUAAUUCUUACAGUGCUUCUGAUUUAUGUCUAAUUAGCCUACUCUUAGUGCAGUUACAUAAAGUUGGAACUUACCUAUAACAUAAACAAAAACUCUAGUGAAAAUAGCUUGAAAGAUGUGGUCAGUUUCCUGUUACACAACAGCAAAUGCCAAUAACCCUGCUAGAAGCAUCCUUAGACCUCCAUUAAGUUCUUUGCACAAGGUUGCGAGCAGGAGCAGCGAGGUUGGAGACUGCGAGUAGGAGUAGCGAGGUUGAAAAGAUGAUUACAGUUUCAGGUAGUAACUAUCUAACUUGAAGAAGAAGAGAAAAGAUGACUACUGUGAGGGAGGUGAGGAUCAAUGAAGGUGAGGGAGGUGAAGGGGUGAGGGGCAAGUUUUAGGAUUUCAAAUUCAUAAACCCUAAUUUAGGUUAUGAGGUUUUGGUUUAAG